UACGGAGGGGGCUAGCGUUGUUCGGAAUGACUGGGCGUAAAGCGCGCGUAGGCGGGCUGGAAAGUCAGGGGUGAAAUCCCGGGGCUCAACCCUGGAAUUGCCUUUGAGACUCCCAGCCUUGAGUUCGAGAGAGGUGAGUGGAAUUCCGAGUGUAGAGGUGAAAUUCGUAGAUAUUCAGAGGAACACCAGUGGCGAAGGCGGCUCACUGGCUCGACACUGACGCUGAGGUGCGAAAGCGUGGGGAGUAAACAGG
rnacentral:rRNA from 1 species